rnacentral:tRNA from 2 species
CGAGAAGAAGUAUACUAGUACAUUGGGUUUGGGACUCAAAGGUCUCCUAAGGGGGUUUCUCGU